rnacentral:lncRNA from 1 species
CUAAAGGUACAUUUUUCAAGAUGUUUCCUGUUAUUAAGCAAUAUAUGACAGUAAUUAAAUUGCCCAACUAUUUGUUUUUCUCUCAUAAAUUAGAAUGUUAAACAUAAAUUCAAUAAUUUAGCAAACUGUCCUAUAUUCAACCACCAAUUUUCUAUCUUUCCAUGCAUUUGCUUUUACAUACACUCAUCCAUACAUAUGUAGUUCAUACGAUAUAUAUAAAUAUACCCCCCACACAUACAUAUGAAUUAUAAACAUGUACAUUUUUAUUUUAUGUACAUGUCAUGGUGAUACAUUAGUUUAGUUUUCUAAGACUGCUGUAAUGGAGAAAAGCAAACUGGUGGUUUACCUAACAGAACUGCAUUGUGUCACCAGCAAAAAAUCCUAAAUCAAGGUGCCAGUAGUGUUGUGUCUUUUUGAGAUCUGUGAGAAAGCAUCUGUUCCAUGCCUCUUGUCUCCACUGUGGUGGUUAUCUGGCCAUCUUUGAGAGUCCCUGGCUUGUAGAGGCAUCAUCCCAAGCCUUCUUUUUCAAGGCUUUCAAACUAAGUGUCUCAAAAUUUCCUCUUUUUAUAAGUACAACACUUACUUUGGAUUACAGCCCACUCUAAUGAUCUCAUUUAGAAGUAUUUACUGCUAUAAAAACCCUAUCUGCAAAUAAGUCACAUUUUUGAAGUACUAGAGGUUAGAACUUCAACAUAAGAAUUCAAGGAAGCGGGGGCUGGGGUUGUGGCUCAGUGGUACAGUGCUCAUCUAGCAUGCAUGAGGCACUGGGUUCGAUCCUCAGCACCACAUAAAAAUAAAGUAUUGUGUUCACCUAAAACUAAAAAAAGGUAAAUAUUAAAAAAAAUAAAUAAAGCAUUCAAGGAAGCAGAAUUUGACCAACUAAGACAUAUUAAAAAUUUUCAUUAUUUUAAACUUUUGAAUAAUCUUAGAUUCAAGAAAUUAGCUAGUGGUAAAGACUAAUUGAAUAUGCAGGCUUAAGAUUUUUAAAUGACUCAAAUUUCAAUCUAGGAGAAGUAAGCAUUGAAUAUGAUAAUAAAAUUUUGAUUAAUUUUCUACUUAUUUUGUGAUUGAUAAAUUAAACAACAAUAUUGGCUAUUAUAUUUUUAUUUGCAUGUUAAUUCUAUAAAAGUUUUGCAAAUGCCAUUAAUUGUUCUGCAUGAGUGUAUUAUGAAAUAAGUGAAUGCAGUUAAUGUUCUCAUUAAUAAUAUUUGUUUAAUUUAAAUAUAUUUAGAAAGAUGACAUAGCACAUGAUAAAAUGCUAAUGACAUUUUACAAGUUUUAAAUGAAGUAAGUUUAAAAAUAAUUUGGAGAAUAUGAUUCUGAAAUAAAGGGUUUUUGUUUGUUUGUUUGUUUAUUACAGGAUAAAAUUCAAUACUAUUUAGGUGAUUAUUUUUGCAUAAUAUCACAUUCAUUUGUAAAAUAUCGAUGUGUUUACUGAUUUCCAGUAGAUAAUUUAGUAAAUUAUCCUUUGACAUAACUUAGAGUCACUUUUUUCUUCUUCUUCUUUUAAUAUAUAGCAUGACAUAAAAGAUGAGGAAAUGGCUAUGACCCAGGCUUUCCCCUUUAAUUUCAGUAAGAUUUCUGGCCAACAUCACAGCCAAGAGAAGACUCUACAGCAUAGCAUGCUUUCCAUUCCAGAACAGUUUCUGGUUCUAAUACUCUAAAUUUCCUAAUUUCAUCCACAUGGUUUCCUCUAUAAUAUAAAGUCAAAUUAAGAGUGGAAGACUGAUCUGAAAUCCAUUUAUUUGCUCACAGGCUGUACAGUUUGCCAAACAUUCCACACAGUAAUUCAAAAGUUUCAGAUCGAUGCUGGGGUAUUGCAUAUCUCCUCAUCCCUUGUUUAUAUGACUGUAUUCUAAAGAACAGCCUGAACUGAGAUCAGAAAUUAGCAGAGUGUCUGGAAAAAGGAAUGAGCAGGCCCAAGAUAAACAGAUGUACGAUUGCAAGAAUACUACAAACAAACAGACAUUGUGGGCACUACAAUCAAUUCCUCAAGGCUCUUCAUUUCUACCACACUAAUUAAACUAACAGAGAACCCCAUUUUGGAUUCUUCAUGAGAGACUUUUCAUUUGCAUAAGAUUGGAUAAUACCAUGUCAUACCUGUCAAUUAACUACUCAAUAAAUGAGCUUUGAAAUGA